UCAAACUUGGUCAUUUAGAGGAAGUAAAAGUCGUAACAAGGUUUCCGUAGGUGAACCUGCGGAAGGAUCAUUAUUGAAUACUGCUUGAUGGGUUGUAGCUGGCUCCUUGGAGCAUGUGCACGCCUGUCUUGAUUCUAUUCAUCCACCUGUGCACCAUUUGUAGUCUUUUGUGGGGCUGAGACUGGGAUGAGGGGACUGCUUGCGCCUUUGCCGGUGCUGCUUUCCUCAGCUGAAAUCCAUGAUCUCCCUCAAAGGUACUAUGUCUUUAUCACAAACCAUGUAGUAUGUUACAGAAUGUGUUGAAUAGGCCAUUGAGCCUUUAAAACGUUAUACAACUUUCAGCAACGGAUCUCUUGGCUCUCGCAUCGAUGAAGAACGCAGC
rnacentral:misc_RNA from 1 species